rnacentral:rRNA from 1 species
AAUAUUUGACAAUGGGGGCAACCCUGAUCCAGCCAUGCAGCGUGUGUGAAGAAGGUCUUCGGUUUAUUCAGCACUUUAAUUUGGGAGGAAGGGCUUUAGGUUAAUACCCUGAAGUUUUGACGUUACCAACAGAAUAAGCACCGGCUAACUCACUGCAAGCAGCCGCGGUAAUACGGAGUGUGCAAGCGUUAAUCGGAAUUACCGGGCAUAAAGCGCGCGUAGAUGGUUCAGUAAGAUGGGUGUGAAAUCCCCGGGCUUAACCUGGGAACUGCUUUCAUAACUGCUGAGCUAGAGUACGGUAGAGGGUAGUGAAAUUUCCUGUUUAGCGGUGAAAUGCGUAGAUAUAGGAAGAAACACCAGUGGCGAAGGCGACUACCUGGACUGUUACUGACACUGAGGUGCGAAAGCGUGGGGAACAAAC